rnacentral:rRNA from 1 species
CCUACGGGAGGCAGCAGUGGGGGAUAUUGCACAAUGGGGGGAACCCUGAUGCAGCGACGCCGCGUGGGUGAAGGAGCGUUUCGGCGCGUAAAGCCCUAUCGGCAGGGAAGAAGGAGGACGGUACCUGACUAAGAAGCCCCGGCUAACGACGUGCCAGCAGCCGCGGUAAUACGUAGGGGGCAAGCGUUAUCCGGAUUUACUGGGUGUAACGGGGGGGCAGGCGGCAGCGAAAGCCAGGAGUGAAAGCCCGGGGCCCAACCCCGGGAGUGCUCUUGGAACUGCGCGGCUGGAGUGCAGGAGGGGCAGGCAGAAGUCCUGGUGUAGCGGUGAAAUGCGUAGAUAUCAGGAGGAACAACGGUGGCGAAGGAGGCCUGCUGGACUGCGACUGACGUGGAGGCCCGAAAGCGUGGGGAGCAAACAGGAUUAGAUACCCGAGUAGUC